GGGAGAGGGAGACAUGGAGGAGAGGGAGGCUUGGAGGAGAGGGAGGCUUGGAGGAGAGGGAGACAUGGAGGAGAGGGAGGCUUGGAGGAGAGGGAGGCUUGGAGGAGAGGGAGACAUGGAGGAGAGGGAGACAUGGAGGAGAGGGAGGCUUGGAGGAGAGGGAGGCUUGGGGGAGAGGGAGGCUUGGGGGAGAGGGAGACAUGGAGGAGAGGGAGGCUUGGAGGAGAGGGAGACAUGGAGGAGAGGGAGGCUUGGAGGAGAGGGAGGCUUGGAGGAGAGGGAGGCUUGGGGGAGAGGGAGACAUGGAGGAGAGGGAGGCUUGGAGGAGAGGGAGGCUUGGAGGAGAGGGAGACAUGGAGGAGAGGGAGACAUGGAGGAGAGGGAGGCUUGGAGGAGAGGGAGGCUUGGGGGAGAGGGAGACAUGGAGGAGAGGGAGGCUUGGGGGAGAGGGAGACAUGGAGGAGAGGGAGGCUUGGGGGAGAGGGAGGCUUGGAGGAGAGGGAGGCUUGGGGGAGAGGGAGGCUUGGAGGAGAGGGAGGCUUGGGGGAGAGGGAGACAUGGAGGAGAGGGAGGCUUGGGGGAGAGGGAGGCUUGGAGGAGAGGGAGGCUUGGGGGAGAGGGAGGCUUGGAGGAGAGGGAGG
ensembl:lncRNA